AGACUGGGAGGUCCAGGGGCUUCGGCUUCGUCACCUUCGGCAACGAGCAGGCUAUGAGGGAUGCAAUCGAAGCCAUGAACGGCCAGAACCUCGACGGCCGCAACAUCACCGUCAAUGAGGCUCAGUCUCGCGGAUCUGGAGGAGGCGGUGGCGGAGGAGGCUACAGCCGCGGAGGAGGCGGUGGUGGAUACGGAGGCAGUGGCGGGUACGGAGGCGGUGGUCGUCGUGAAGGCGGCGGAGGUGGCUACAGCCGUGGAGGUGGCGGUGGUGGAUAUGGCGGUGGCGGUGGUGGAUAUGGCGGUGGUCGUCGUGAGGGAGGAUACGGAGGUGGUGAGGGUGGCUAUUCCAGGGGUGGGGGUGGAGCUGAGGGCGGCAGCUGGAGAAGUUAAAUUAGGGUUAAGAUAGAGUAUUUGGGGCUCUGGAAUGUGUGAUCUCUCUGGUUAUGUGUUAGGGUUAGGGUUUGGAUCAGGUAGUUGGUUUGUCUGUCUGCGAUGGUGGUGGUGUCGGUGUCUCUUUCUGUUGUCGAUAAUUUUGAUCGAUGAAGGUGGUUCUAUGUUACUUUCCGAUGUAUUUGCGGUUCCCAAAAGAGAAAAAUAUGGUGUUUGAGAAAUGAAGUAUCUCUGUUUUACUUUAAUUUUCGUUAAUCUGCGGCAAUUAAUUUUGAGUUGUGAAAAUAUUGGUAAAAACGGAUUAUACCAACCUAUUGUAAUUAAGCAUAUUCUCAUGGACUCGUUAAUAUGUCAAUUAA
rnacentral:lncRNA from 1 species